rnacentral:rRNA from 1 species
ACGAAGCAUUGAGAGCUUGCUUUUGAUGCUUAGUGGCGGACGGGUGAGUAACGCGUGAGCAACCUGCCUUUCAGAGGGGGAUAACGUUUGGAAACGAACGCUAAUACCGCAUGAUGUAUUUGAGCCACAUGGCCUGGAUAUCAAAGGAGCAAUUCACUGAAAGAUGGGCUCGCGUCCGAUUAGCUAGUUGGCGGGAUAACAGCCCACCAAGGCGACGAUCGGUAGCCGGACUGAGAGGUCGAACGGCCACAUUGGGACUGAGACACGGCCCAGACUCCUACGGGAGGCAGCAGUGGGGGAUAUUGCACAAUGGAGGAAACUCUGAUGCAGCAACGCCGCGUGAGGGAAGAAGGUUUUCGGAUUGUAAACCUCUGUCAUCGGUGACGAAAAUGACGGUAGCCGAUGAGGAAGCUCCGGCUAACUACGUGCCAGCAGCCGCGGUAAUACGUAGGGAGCGAGCGUUGUCCGGAAUUACUGGGUGUAAAGGGUGCGUAGGCGGGGGACCAAGUCAGGUGUGAAAACUAUCGGCUCAACCGAUAGCCUGCACUUGAAACUGGUUCUCUUGAGUGAAGUAGAGGCAGGCGGAAUUCCCGGUGUAGCGGUGAAAUGCGUAGAGAUCGGGAGGAACACCAGUGGCGAAGGCGGCCUGCUGGGCUUUAACUGACGCUGA